GAUAACUGGCUUGUGGCGGCCAAGCGUUCAUAGCGACGUCGCUUGUUGAUCCUUCGAUGUCGGCUCUUCCUAUCAUUGCGGAGCAGAAUUCGCCAAGCGUCGGAUUGUUCCCCCGCCAAUAGGGAACGUGAGCUGGGUUUAGACCGUCGUGAGACAGGUU
rnacentral:misc_RNA from 13 species